AUUAGGUUAGCAGAGUUAAUGUUUCUGAUUUAGGAUCAGAGGGAGGAAUUGGUUUUCCACCUGAUA
rnacentral:tRNA from 1 species